CGGAAAAUAGCAGGAUCCUGGAGGAUGACCACUGACAUCUACACCAGCUACACACAGCGUGGGACAUCAACAGAUGAAGCAGAUGAUGAAAGAUCCUACAGGACGCCAGCCGAUAAAAUGACAGAGGAGGACAUCAUCAGCAGAUAGCGAUGAUGAAGGAUCUCAAGGACGACAGCCAAUAUAGUGAGAAACGAGGACAUCAUCGGCAGAUAGAGGUAUGUUUGGUAUUUCACCCGUAACAGGAAUGCAUGGGAAUCUACCAUGGAUCUGUGGAAUUAUGUGAAUGUUUUGUAGCUCAGGAUUCAUCUCAUUGUAUUAGGGGAGUGGGUGAUAUAUCAUGACUUCUGGCAUGGGUCAUUGAAACAUAAUC